UCUACGGGUGGCUGCAGUGGGGAAUAUUGGACAAUGGGCGAAAGCCUGAUCCAGCAAUGCCGCGUGAGUGAUGAAGGCCUUAGGGUUGUAAAGCUCUUUUACCAGGGAUGAUAAUGACAGUACCUGUAGAAUAAGCUCCGGCUAACUCCGUGCCAGCAGCCGCGGUAAUACGGAGGUAGCUCGCGUUGUUCGGAAUUACUGGGCGUAAAGCGCACGUAGGCGGUUUUUCAAGUCAGGGGUGAAAGCCCGGAGCUCAACUCCGGAAUUGCCCUUGAAACUGGAUGACUAGAAGAGUGGAGAGGGCAGUGGAAUUCCGAGUGUAGAGGUGAAAUUCGUAGAUAUUCGGAAGAACACCAGUGGCGAAGGCGACUGACUGGACAAGUAUUGACGCUGAGGUGCGAAAGCGUGGGGAGCAAACAGGAUUAGAUACCCCUGUAGUC
rnacentral:rRNA from 1 species